UACGUAGGGUGCGAGCGUUAAUCGGAAUUACUGGGCGUAAAGCGUGCGUAGGCGGUUUUGUAAGCCGGAUGUGAAAUCCCCGGGCUUAACCUGGGAAUGGCAUUUGGGACUGCAAGGCUGGAGUGCGGCAGAGGAGACUGGAAUUCCUGGUGUAGCAGUGAAAUGCGUAGAUAUCAGGAGGAACACCGAUGGCGAAGGCAGGUCUCUGGGCUGACACUGACGCUCAUGCACGAAAGCGUGGGGAGCAAACAGG
rnacentral:rRNA from 1 species